GACGAACGCUGGCGGCGUGCCUAAUACAUGCAAGUAGAACGCACAGUUUAUACCGUAGCUUGCUACACCAUAGACUGUGAGUUGCGAACGGGUGAGUAACGCGUAGGUAACCUGCCUGGUAGCGGGGGAUAACUAUUGGAAACGAUAGCUAAUACCGCAUAAUAUUGAUUAUUGCAUGAUAAUUGAUUGAAAGAUGCUAUUGCAUCACUACCAGAUGGACCUGCGUUGUAUUAGCUAGUAGGUGAGGUAACGGCUCACCUAGGCGACGAUACAUAGCCGACCUGAGAGGGUGAUCGGCCACACUGAGACUGAGACACGGCCCAGACUCCUACGGGAGGCAGCAGUAGGGAAUCUUCGGCAAUGGACGAAAGUCUGACCGAGCAACGCCGCGUGAGUGAAGAAGGUUUUCGGAUCGUAAAGCUCUGUUGUAAGAGAAGAACGGGUGUGAGAGUGGAAAGUUCACACUGUGACGGUAUCUUACCAGAAAGAGACGGCUAACUACGUG
rnacentral:rRNA from 1 species